rnacentral:rRNA from 1 species
AGCUUUAGGACAAUGAUCUAAAGUUUAACCUGCCCAAUGUAUCUUUAGAUUAUGAAUGGCCGCGGUACUUUGACCGUGCUAAGGUAGCGCAAUUAAUUGGCUCUUAAAUGGAGUCAGGUAUGAAUGGAAUUACGGAAUCUAGCUGUCUCUAUAUUAAUUUCUUGAAAUUACUAUGUAGGUGAAAAAGCCUACAUGAACAAAAGGGACGAGAAGACCCUGAGAGUUUUAUUUAAUGUAAAAUUAUUUUUAUAAUAAUUUAGUUGGGGCAACAUAGGAACAGAAAUAAACUUCCUUAAAUUUAUUUAACGAUUUUUAUAAAUUUAGAUAAACUACCUUAGGGAUAACAGCAUAAUUUUAUCAAUAAGUUUGUGACCUCGAUGUUGGACUAGGAAAUUAAAAGGCUAGCCGCUUUUUAAAAUGGUUCUGUUCGAACUGUUAAUCCU